rnacentral:rRNA from 1 species
UGACAGGUGGUGCAUGGUUGUCGUCAGCUCGUGUCGUGAGAUGUUGGGUUAAGUCCCGCAACGAGCGCAACCCUUGUCUUUAGUUGCCAUCAUUAAGUUGGGCACUCUAGAGAGACUGCCAGGGAUAACCUGGAGGAAGGUGGGGAUGACGUCAAAUCAUCAUGCCCCUUAUGCUUAGGGCUACACACGUGCUACAAUGGGUAGUACAGAGGGUUGCCAAGCCGUAAGGUGGAGCUAAUCCCUUAAAGCUACUCUCAGUUCGGAUUGUAGGCUGAAACUCGCCUACAUGAAGCUGGAGUUACUAGUAAUCGCAGAUCAGAAUGCUGCGGUGAAUGCGUUCCCGGGUCUUGUACACACCGCCCGUCACACCACGGGAGUUGGAGACGCCCGAAGCCGAUUAUCUAACCUUUUGGAAGAAGUCGUCGAAGGUGGAAUCAAUAACUGGGGUGAAGUCGUAACAAGGUAGCCGUAUCGGAAGGUGCGGCUGGAUCACCUCCUUU